rnacentral:rRNA from 1 species
UUAAGUGAAUAAGGGCGCACGGUGGAUGCCUUGGCACUAGGAGCCGAUGAAGGACGGGACUAACACCGAUAUGCUUUGGGGAGCUGUAAGUAAGCUAUGAUCCAGAGAUUUCCGAAUGGGGGAACCCAGCAUCUUUUAUAGGAUGUUACGUCUGCGUGAAUACAUAGCGCAGUCGAGGUAGACGCAGAGAACUGAAACAUCUAAGUACCUGCAGGAAGAGAAAGAAAAUUCGAUUCCCUGAGUAGCGGCGAGCGAAACGGGAAAAGCCCAAACCAACAAGCUUGCUUGUUGGGGUUGUAGGACUCCGAUAUGGUAGUCUAUUCAGAUAGUCGAAAUACUUGGAAAAGUAUGUCAAAGAGGGUAAAAACCCCGUAGGCGAAAUUUGGAUAACACCUAGGAGGAUCCUGAGUACGGCGGAACACGAGGAAUUCCGUCGGAAUCCGGGAGGACCAUCUCCCAAGGCUAAAUACUCCCUAGUGACCGAUAGUGAACCAGUACCGUGAGGGAAAGGUGAAAAGCACCCCGGAAGGGGAGUGAAAUAGAUCCUGAAACCGUGUGCCUACAACAAGUUAGAGCCCGUUAAUGGGUGAUAGCGUGCCUUUUGUAGAAUGAACCGGCGAGUUACGAUAGCAUGCGAGGUUAAGUUGAAGAGACGGAGCCGCAGCGAAAGCGAGUCUGAAUAGGGCGAAUGAGUAUGUUGUCGUAGACCCGAAACCAUGUGAUCUACCCAUGUCCAGGUUGAAGGUGCGGUAAAACGCACUGGAGGACCGAACCCACGUACGUUGAAAAGUGCGGGGAUGAGGUGUGGGUAGCGGAGAAAUUCCAAACGAACUUGGAGAUAGCUGGUUCUCUCCGAAAUAGCUUUAGGGCUAGCCUCGGAAUUGAGAAUGAUGGAGGUAGAGCACUGUUUGGACUAGGGGCCCAUCUCGGGUUACCGAAUUCAGAUAAACUCCGAAUGCCAUUCAUUCAUAUCCGGGAGUCAGACUGUGAGUGAUAAGAUCCAUAGUCGAAAGGGAAACAGCCCAGACCACCAGCUAAGGUCCCCAAAUAACUAUUAAGUGGAAAAGGAUGUGGGGUUGCACAGACAACUAGGAUGUUGGCUUAGAAGCAGCCACCAUUUAAAGAGUGCGUAAUAGCUCACUAGUCGAGUGACCCUGCGCCGAAAAUGUACCGGGGCUAAAUAGUUUACCGAAGCUGUGGAGUGCACCAUAAGGUGCAUUGGUAGGAGAGCGUUCUAAGGGCGUUGAAGGCAGACCGUGAGGACUGCUGGAGCGCUUAGAAGUGAGAAUGCCGGUAUGAGUAGCGAAAGACAGGUGAGAAUCCUGUCCACCGAAUGACUAAGGUUUCCUGGGGAAGGCUCGUCCGCCCAGGGUUAGUCGGGACCUAAGCCGAGGCCGACAGGCGUAGGCGAUGGACAACAGGUUGAUAUUCCUGUACCCGUUGUUUUUGUUUGAGCAAUGGAGGGACGCAGGAGGCUAAGAAGUGCAGACUGAUGGAUAUGUCUGUUCAAGCAGUAAGUCUUGGUAGGAGUCAAAUGCUUCUACCUAUACGGACAAGCUGUGAUGAGGAGGGAAAUAAUAGUACCGAAGCUUCUGAUGUCACACUGCCAAGAAAAGCUUCUAGUGAGAAAACAACGGCCCGUACCGCAAACCGACACAGGUAGUCGAGGAGAGAAUCCUAAGGUGAGCGAGAGAACUCUCGUUAAGGAACUCGGCAAAAUGACCCCGUAACUUCGGGAGAAGGGGUGCUGCUCUAACGAGCAGCCGCAGUGAAUAGGCCCAAGCGACUGUUUAUCAAAAACACAGGUCUCUGCAAAAUCGAAAGAUGACGUAUAGGGGCUGACGCCUGCCCGGUGCUGGAAGGUUAAGAGGAGUGCUUAGCGUAAGCGAAGGUACGAAUUGAAGCCCCAGUAAACGGCGGCCGUAACUAUAACGGUCCUAAGGUAGCGAAAUUCCUUGUCGGGUAAGUUCCGACCCGCACGAAAGGCGUAACGAUUUGGGCACUGUCUCAACGAGAGACUCGGUGAAAUUUUAGUACCUGUGAAGAUGCAGGUUACCCGCGACAGGACGGAAAGACCCCAUGGAGCUUUACUGUAGUUUGAUAUUGAGUGUCUGUACCGCAUGUACAGGAUAGGUAGGAGCCGUAGAGAUCGGGACGCCAGUUUCGAUGGAGGCAAUGGUGGGAUACUACCCUUGCGUUAUGGCCACUCUAACCCGCAGCCCUUAUC